UACAGAGGGUGCUAGCGUUGUUCGGAAUCAUUGGGCGUAAAGGGCGCGUAGGCGGUGUGUCAAGUCAGAUGUGAAAGCCCCGGGCUCAACCUGGGAACUGCAUUUGAAACUGGCGGGCUUGAGUGUGGCAGAGGGGGGUGGAAUUCCGCGUGUAGCAGUGAAAUGCGUAGAGAUGCGGAGGAACACCGAUGGCGAAGGCAGCCCCCUGGGCCAACACUGACGCUCAGGCACGAAAGCGUGGGGAGCAAACAGG
rnacentral:rRNA from 1 species